GAUGAACGCUGGCGGCGUGCCUAAUACAUGCAAGUCGAGCGAACAGACGAGGAGCUUGCUCCUCUGACGUUAGCGGCGGACGGGUGAGUAACACGUGGAUAACCUACCUAUAAGACUGGGAUAACUUCGGGAAACCGGAGCUAAUACCGGAUAAUAUAUUGAACCGCAUGGUUCAAUAGUGAAAGACGGUUUUGCUGUCACUUAUAGAUGGAUCCGCGCCGCAUUAGCUAGUUGGUAAGGUAACGGCUUACCAAGGCAACGAUGCGUAGCCGACCUGAGAGGGUGAUCGGCCACACGGGAACUGAGACACGGUCCAGACUCCUACGGGAGGCAGCAGUAGGGAAUCUUCCGCAAUGGGCGAAAGCCUGACGGAGCAACGCCGCGUGAGUGAUGAAGGUCUUCGGAUCGUAAAACUCUGUUAUUAGGGAGGAACAAAUGUGUAAGUAACUAUGCACGUCUUGACGGUACCUAAUCAGAAAGCCACGGCUAACUACGUG
rnacentral:rRNA from 1 species